GACGUAGGGUGCGAGCGUUGUCCGGAUUUAUUGGGCGUAAAGAGCUCGUAGGCGGCUCGUCGCGUCGACCGUGAAAACCCGCGGCUUAACCGCGGGCUUGCGGUUGAUACGGGCGGGCUAGAGUUCGGUAGGGGAGACUGGAAUUCCUGGUGUAGCGGUGAAAUGCGCAGAUAUCAGGAGGAACACCGGUGGCGAAGGCGGGUCUCUGGGCAGUAACUGACGCUGAGGAGCGAAAGCGUGGGGAGCGAACAGG
rnacentral:rRNA from 1 species